UCGGGAAUUUUGCACAAUGGCCGAAAGGCUGAUGCAGCAACGCCGCGUGAGCGAAGAAGGCCUUCGGGUUGUAAAGCUCUGUUGCCUGCGAAGAAGGGCCCUGUCAGGAAAUGGGCGGGGUUUGACGGUAGCAGGCGCGGAAGCCCCGGCAAACUACGUGCCAGCAGCCGCGGUAAUACGUAGGGGGCGAGCGUUUUCCGGAAUUACUGGGCGUAAAGGGCGUGUAGGCGGCCUGUUAAGUCAGGGGUGAAAGACCGGGGCUCAACCCCGGGGGUGCCGCGGAAACUGGCGGGCUUGAGUGCUCUAGAGGGCAGUGGAAUUCCCGGUGUAGCAGUGAAAUGCGUAGAGAUAGGGAGGAACACCAGUGGCGAAGGCGGCUGCCUGGGGAGUCACUGACGCUGAGGCGCGAAAGCUAGGGGAGCAAGCAGG
rnacentral:rRNA from 1 species